GUUGAACGCUGGCGGCGUGCCUAAUACAUGCAAGUCGAGCGAACGGACGAGAAGCUUGCUUCUCUGAUGUUAGCGGCGGACGGGUGAGUAACACGUGGAUAACCUACCUAUAAGACUGGGAUAACUUCGGGAAACCGGAGCUAAUACCGGAUAAUAUUUUGAACCGCAUGGUUCAAAAGUGAAAGACGGUCUUGCUGUCACUUAUGGAUGGAUCCGCGCUGCAUUAGCUAGUUGGUAAGGUAACGGCUUACCAAGGCAACGAUGCAUAGCCGACCUGAGAGGGUGAUCGGCCACACUGGAACUGAGACACGGUCCAGACUCCUACGGGAGGCAGCAGUAGGGAAUCUUCCGCAAUGGGCGAAAGCCUGACGGAGCAACGCCGCGUGAGUGAUGAAGGUCUUCGGAUCGUAAAACUCUGUUAUUAGGGAAGAACAUAUGUGUAAGUAACUGUGCACAUCUUGACGGUACCUAAUCAGAAAGCCACGGCUAACUACGUGCCAGCAGCCGCGGUAAUACGUAGGUGGCAAGCGUUAUCCGGAAUUGUUGGGCGUAAAGCGCGCGUAGGCGGUUUUUUAAGUCUGAUGUGAAAGCCCACGGCUCAACCGUGGAGGGUCAUUGGAAACUGGAAAACUUGAGUGCAGAAGAGGAAAGUGGAAUUCCAUGUGUAGCGGUGAAAUGCGCAGAGAUAUGGAGGAACACCAGUGGCGAAGGCGACUUUCUGGUCUGUAACUGACGCUGAUGUGCGAAAGCGUGGGGAUCAAACAGGAUUAGAUACCCUGGUAGUCCACGCCGUAAACGAUGAGUGCUAAGUGUUAGGGGGUUUCCGCCCCUUAGUGCUGCAGCUAACGCAUUAAGCACUCCGCCUGGGGAGUACGACCGCAAGGUUGAAACUCAAAGGAAUUGACGGGGACCCGCACAAGCGGUGGAGCAUGUGGUUUAAUUCGAAGCAACGCGAAGAACCUUACCAAAUCUUGACAUCCUUUGACAACUCUAGAGAUAGAGCCUUCCCCUUCGGGGGACAAAGUGACAGGUGGUGCAUGGUUGUCGUCAGCUCGUGUCGUGAGAUGUUGGGUUAAGUCCCGCAACGAGCGCAAUCCUUAAGCUUAGUUGCCAUCAUUAAGUUGGGCACUCUAAGUUGACUGCCGGUGACAAACCGGAGGAAGGUGGGGAUGACGUCAAAUCAUCAUGCCCCUUAUGAUUUGGGCUACACACGUGCUACAAUGGACAAUACAAAGGGCAGCGAAGCCGCGAGGUCAAGCAAAUCCCAUAAAGUUGUUCUCAGUUCGGAUUGUAGUCUGCAACUCGACUACAUGAAGCUGGAAUCGCUAGUAAUCGUAGAUCAGCAUGCUACGAAAAGGCGUUCCCGGGUC
rnacentral:rRNA from 1 species